GAUGAAGAACGUAGUGAAAUGCGAUAAGUAAUGUGAAUUGCAGAAUUCAGUGAAUCAUCGAAUCUUUGAACGCACCUUGCACCCUUUGGCAUUCCGAAGGGUAUGCUCGUUUGAGUGUCAUUGUACUCUCACACUCCCAAUUGCUUUGGAUUGGGAGCGGUGGACUUGGGUGUUGCUGCUUGACUGAGGCUCACCUGAAAUAUGUUAGUGCACCUCUUGAUUGGACAUAGUACGGCGUGAUAAGUGUCUUCGCCGGCUCCUCGCAAAGAGGGUGGCCGAUCGGGAGCUCUGUUGCUUCAAACUGUCUUCGGACAAUCUUCUGGCGACUUGACCUCAAAUCGAGUAGGACUACCCGCUGAACUUAAGCAUAUCAAUAAGCGGAGGA
rnacentral:misc_RNA from 1 species